UACAGAGACUGCAAGCGUUAUUCGGAUUCACUGGGCGUAAAGGGUGCGCAGGCGGCCAAGUGUGUUGGGCGUGAAAGCCCGGGGCUUAACCCCGGAAUUGCACCUAAAACUACAUGGCUAGAGCAUUGGAGAGGGUAGCGGAAUUCACGGUGUAGCAGUGAAAUGCGUAGAUAUCGUGAGGAACACCAGAGGCGAAGGCGGCUACCUGGACAAUUGCUGACGCUCAGGCACGAAAGCGUGGGGAGCAAAAGGG
rnacentral:rRNA from 1 species